UCAACUCUUACCCCCACCCUGUCAGUCCUCACAACGAGACUAUCCAUACUCACGGACCUUAAAUUUUACCUCUUACUCCGGAUCUAAUCCAUGCUCUCGAGUCCUUGAUUGUACCUAUUCCAUACUCUCGGAUGAGGGACAAUUGGUCUGUGUCUAAAUCCAUACUCCUAGAUUAAUGACAGAUGACUAUGUCCUGACCAUACUCCCGGACUAAGGACAACUGACUAUGUCUUAAUCCAUACUCUCGGAUUAAGGACACCUGACUAUGUCUUAAUCCAUACUCUCGGAUUAACGACAGUUGACUGAGUCGAAUCCAUAUUCUCGGACUAGGGACAAAUGACUAUGUCUAAUCCGUGCUUCUGGAUCAACGACAUGUUUAAGGGUUCUAUUCCCCGUAUAUAUCUCACUCGUACUCAUAAGGAGAUACUACCCAAUGACCCUCAUAACAAAUUUUAGGUGUACUCAUUAACCUAAAUAAUUAUAAAUAAUCGGGCAUGUUCUUUAACAUGUAAUUCAGACAACAUCAAAUAAUUCGCACAUAAACAUAUAUUUAAUACAUUUAAUCAAUACUUGUAUUAAAAUCAUGUUCAUGAAAGGGACUAUGCACUCACUUGAUUAGGUGGUGACUCGGCACUCGAACAGCACUUUGUUACUCUUAAAAUAAUUUUCCUCUACAAAACCUAGUAUCAAUAUCACUAGGGUUUAGUCUAACGUUAACCGUGACUAAUUAAUAGUCUAGCUAUUAUUACUAUUAUAUAAGCAUUAAACAAUACUUAUAUAGCCCAUAAUAAUAGCCCAAGUAUUUAUUAUAAGUUCCUAAUAACGUUACUAUAAUUAAAUAAAAGCUAUAUUAAAAAUAGCGUAGGCGUAGCUCACUUACAGUGGGUUUUUCUCAAAACCGGGUGCCACUGGAGCAGCGUUCCCGAUCCGAAAGGCUCUUCUUCUUGGAGUCGUCGGGCACUCUGGGGAUUCCGCCUCGUGCUAGGGAGGUUCCCUAGGCUUUUCGGGAGGUGNCCUCGUGCUAGGGAGGUUCCCUAGGCUUUUAUGGGGGUUUCGGGGCUAGAGAGAAGUUCUAGAGAGAGAGGGAAGUGAGGGGAGGUGUGAGGAAUGAAUGGAGGCCUCACCACUUAUUUAUAGGAGCUGGAGGAAGGUUCACGUCGUGAAGUUUUAAUAUUCACAUCGUGAGCCAGGCUGGCUACAGCCAGGCGCAGCCUGGUGCUGACACGUGGCAUCGCACAUAGGGUGGAAAUCAGCCGAUUUUCAAAAAUUCAUACUUUUGCAUACGAACUCUAUUUUCGACGUUCUUUAUAUCUACACGUAGGUAAAAACAAGAUCUACAACUUUCAUUUAGACUCCGUCGGCUAAUUCUCGACCGAUCUUAAAUUUAACAGUAGGAGGAAUUUAGACUGCUAAAUGACCGCGAAGAAUUCGUAACUCCUUCAUACGGAAUCCGUUAUCAUCUAUCUUUUUACCGUUGAUUUCCUGUUAAUGAGAUAUUCAACUCUCAUUUAGGUCGCAUAUGCCAAAAACCGCUCGAACUAAAAUUCGAGUUUCGGGCCGUGCACUGCUAAGCCGAAUCUUAGAAAAAUCAUAACUUCCUCAUACGAAGUCAGAUUUGGGCGUUCUUUUUAUGGAUGUUCUCGGGUUAACAUAUAAGACAACUUUGAUUUAGAUCACUNGGCUAAAAAGUCCUCUAUCGUAAAUUCACUAUUUACGUCUCCCGGUGUCGUGCCGGUUUUGCUGUAAAACUUCGACGAGCCAUAACUUCUUCGUUAUAACUCGGAUUUCGGCAUUCUUUAUAUGUAUGGAACCCUUGAGACAUAUUCUACAACUUAGUUAAGAUUAUUUAUUCUAAAUAAUCUUUUGUCAAAAAGUCGUUUUCGACCCCUAUUAUCUUUAAAUUGACUAGCCCGGUUCUACGAGCGUUACAAUUAUCUCCCCCUUAGGAUGAUUACGUCCCGGAAUCAUCAAUGAAACAGGGUUGUAUAAUGACUUCAUAAAUUAUCCUUUCAUCCUAGGUAAUAACUGUAACUCAUAUGUUCCUUUGAAUUAACUCCUUUAACUGUAGGCGGUGCUCGAUCUUGCACCUGCUCCCUAUUUCACAUUAGACUCCAAUAUAUGACCUUCAAGUCACAAUCUCGAUCCUUACUAGAGACUCCUUCUUCUUCUUAACGAACUAUUUGAUUUCCACAAUAGACUGAUGGGUCAUGUUCUAAUGACCUUUCAUCGUGUGUUGCAACGCUUAGACUCAGGUCUUUUAGAGUCAAAUUCCAGGACAUAUUAUACCUUCCUUCAUGUUCUAAUGUGAUAUAAUCACAUCUUAAAGUAGCAUUUCUAUCAACAAACUUCUUUAAAAACUAUUGUGAUACUUAUACAGAUCCCUUUGAUUAUCUUUAUUUCAAUCUUCCAUCUUACGUCAGAUGUUAUAUCGAAAUUGGCUCUCUGAACCACGUAACAUACACAUCGUAGUCGGACCCGAUUUGAUAUGACCACUAGGGUCGGAAUAACAAUCAUCUUCUUAGUCUUUACCGAAACAAUGGUAACGACAUACUUGAAUAAAACGAAUUCAAUUACUAGCUCAUUGUUAACCUUGUGACUUUCCCUGAUCCAAGUGUGAGUCCUAUGCUUCCGGUAGUAUAGGCCUCUACUACCAUUCACACCUACUCAUACUCAUCCCAAGUAUUGUCCCGUAGUUUUCCAAGUCACCGAACAAGAAAAUCACAUAACGACUUAACAAAUCAAUUAUCAAAACGAAGGUUUUAUAUUAUUCCUUGAAAUGAUUACAUAGGUGUUCAAGUUCACCCUAGACUAUGCCUCUAACAGACUACAUCAUACGAUAUUAUGGCUACUGCAUAACUCGAUCUUCGGAUAUGAAAUCCUCAUCCUUGAUUCCUCGCGUUGCCCUCUGCUUCAUCAAGGAUCAUUUGAAAUGCUCUUGUCUUUGGUUUUGGCGGCAUAUUUGGCUUUGUAGCCCCCUCUUUCCUUGGGCAGUCUUGCUUGAAGUGUCCCUCUUCACCACACUUAAAGCAGACUUCUAUCUUGGUUGUGCAUUCGCUGACGUAAUGACCAGUCUUCUUGCAUUUAAAGCAGGUCAUCUCUUUAGAGAAUUUCCCAAUGUGCUUCUUUCUGCACUUGUCACACCAUUGCGUUCCUUCUUCAAACUUCUUUGAACCAGACUUCGAGAAAUUUCUCUUCUCAUCGGACCUUGAGGAUCCUUCAAACUUUCUCUUCUCGCCAACCUCCAUCUUGCUGGCUGCUCUUCCCUUGAUCAUAUCUUCAACAGACUUGGCAACCCAGAUAGCUGCCUCCAGAGUAGGUGGCUGAUGUACUGGCACCGCAUACUCCCAUGGAAGUCCCUUUGCGUACUUGUCAAUUUUUGUCAGCUCGUCUGGGACAAGGCGCAAAGCAAACUCCAUCUUGUCCGUGAAGUUAUUGGUGUAUUCAUCGAUGGUCAUGCUUCCUUUCUUCAAGGUUAGGAAUUGGUUCUCCAGCUCGAGCAGGUUUUGGGCUGAACAGUACCUAUGUUUGAAUUGCAGCAUAAACUCUGCCCAUGUCAGUUGCAUGGGAUCAUUGGGGCUUAAAGUCUUCCCCAGGGUGUUCCACCAAUGAACAGCACCUCCUCGGAACUGUCGUACUGCAAACGUGGUCUGUAAUUUGCCUCUGCAACCACACGUCAUGAAGGCCAACUCCAUCUCCGAGAUCCAAUCCAUAACUCCGAUCGGAUCUUCCUUUCCAGUGAAAGUCGAUGGCUUGCAAGUAAGAAAAUCUUUGUACUUGCAUCCAUUCCUCUCGACUCCUUCAUCUUGAUUAAUCCUUCUAAUCACCGGUGCAUCGGCUUGACCAAGGGUCCCACUAUAGUUCCCUUCCUCUGAUUGCCCAUCAUUCAGUUUGGUCUGUUCGAUAGGCAUCAUAAGUUCCUCUUGAGUUUGUUGAAGUAAACACCUUGUUUCCUGCAUUUGACGAUCCAACAUCAUCUGGAUCAACACUUGAACUUCGGCCAUUGUGAUUGGCUCAGGAGCGACUACUACAACAGGUAUUUGCUCAAUCACUGGGGGCUGAUCUCGGUUCCCAUUUGCAUUCACGUUUCCAGUACGGGUCCUUUCCAUCUUGAUUUAUACACCAAAUAAGGUGAAUCUAGAUCUUUAUUUAUGAUUGACGUUUAAAUCAUCCUUAUGACUCCGAAACGUUUAUAUGCUAGUUCUAAUAUCGUAGUUAAACGCUUAGAAUCCUAAACACAUAAGGUUUCCAGAUCUGGUCGGCAAUAAACCAUAGAUCCGAACAAAUAACAGCAUAUCAGGCACAAGCAUUUAGCACAUAAAAGCAUUUUAGGCACAAUUCCUAAGAUAAGCUAGUGCUCACACCUCACAAUCAUCGCUUAGCAUUCUAAGUUUAAGUCUAGAAAUAAAUCCAUAUUCCUAGUUCGCUUAAACUAAUGCUCUGAUACGAACUGUGACAUCCCCAUGUUCACGCCAGAAAAGACGGAUUUUGUUUAUGCUUUAUAAAAAUCAGAGUACCUUUUUUAAUAAAAAUGUUGCGGAAUUUUCUCCCAGUAAAACAUGAUAAACACGUUAUCAAAGCAUUUCCGAAGAAAAGUAUUUUUAUUCAUUUUAAAACAUUUGGGAUGUCAUCGUCAAUACAGAAACAUAAGCAUAAAUAGAACUUACAUUCAUUAUCACUAGUGAUCUACAUCUCUUUUAAAUCUCUCAGUGUAAUGUGACUUCAUAUCAACACCUGUGAUAUAAAUAAACUGAGUGGGUCAGGUUGGGAAACCUGGUGAGUACAUAGGGAUUUCAAUCCCACAAUGUUAUAAUAUAUAUAAAAAUUCACACAAUAUAUGAUUUCCCCAUAUAUAUAAUCAACUCUUACCCCACCCCGUCAGUCCUCACAACGAGACUAUCCAUACUCACGGACCUUAAAUUUUACCUCUUACUCCGGAUCUAAUCCAUGCUCUCGAGUCCUUGAUUGUACCUAUUCCAUACUCUCGGAUGAGGGACAAUUGGUCUGUGUCUAAAUCCAUACUCCCGGAUUAGUGACAGAUGACUAUGUCCUAUCCAUACUCCCGGACUAAGGACAACCGACUAUGUCUUAAUCCAUACUCCCAGAUUAAUG
rnacentral:lncRNA from 1 species